rnacentral:rRNA from 1 species
AUUGAACGCUGGCGGCAGGCCUAACACAUGCAAGUCGAACGGUAACAGGAAGCAGCUUGCUGCUUCGCUGACGAGUGGCGGACGGGUGAGUAAUGUCUGGGAAGCUGCCUGAUGGAGGGGGAGAACUACUGGAAACGGUAGCUAUUACCGCAUAAUGUCGCAAGACCAAAGAGGGGGACCUUCGGGCCUCUUGCCAUCGGGUGUGCCCAGAUGGGAUUAGCUUGUUGGUGGGGUAACGGCGCACCAAGGCGACGAUCCCUAGCUGGUCUGAGAGGAUGACCAGCCACACUGGAACUGAGACACGGUCCAGACUCCUACGGGAGGCAGCAGUGGGGAAUAUUGCACAAUGGGCGCAAGCCUGAUGCAGCCAUGCCGCGUGUAUGAAGAAGGCCUUCGGGUUGUAAAGUACUUUCAGCGGGGAGGAAGGGAGUAAAGUUAAUACCUUUGCUCAUUGACGUUACCCGCAGAAGAAGCACCGGCUAACUCCGUG